ACAAUUCCGGCGUGCUAUACAUGCAGUCGAGCGGACAGAUGGGAGCUUGCUCCCUGAUGUUAGCGGCGGACGGGUGAGAAACACGUGGGUAACCUGCCUGUAAGACUGGGAUAACUCCGGGAAACCGGGGCUAAUACCGGAUGGUUGUUUGAACCGCAUGGUUCAAACAUAAAAGGUGGCUUCGGCUACCACUUACAGAUGGACCCGCGGCGCAUUAGCUAGUUGGUGAGGUAACGGCUCACCAAGGCAACGAUGCGUAGCCGACCUGAGAGGGUGAUCGGCCACACUGGGACUGAGACACGGCCCAGACUCCUACGGGAGGCAGCAGUAGGGAAUCUUCCGCAAUGGACGAAAGUCUGACGGAGCAACGCCGCGUGAGUGAUGAAGGUUUUCGGAUCGUAAAGCUCUGUUGUUAGGGAAGAACAAGUACCGUUCGAAUAGGGCGGUACCUUGACGGUACCUAACCAGAAAGCCACGGCUAACUACGUGCCAGCAGCCGCGGUAAUACGUAGGUGGCAAGCGUUGUCCGGAAUUAUUGGGCGUAAAGGGCUCGCAGGCGGUUUCUUAAGUCUGAUGUGAAAGCCCCCGGCUCAACCGGGGAGGGUCAUUGGAAACUGGGAACUUGAGUGCAGAAGAGGAGAGUGGAAUUCCACGUGUAGCGGUGAAAUGCGUAGAGAUGUGGAGGAACACCAGUGGCGAAGGCGACUCUCUGGUCUGUAACUGACGCUGAGGAGCGAAAGCGUGGGGAGCGAACAGGAUUAGAUACCCUGGUAGUCCACGCCGUAAACGAUGAGUGCUAAGUGUUAGGGGGUUUCCGCCCCUUAGUGCUGCAGCUAACGCAUUAAGCACUCCGCCUGGGGGAGUACGGUCGCAAGACUGAAACUCAAAGGAAUGACGGGGGCCCGCACAAGCGGUGGAGCAUGGUGGUUUAAUUCGAAGCAACCGCGAAGAACCUUACCAGGUCUGGACAUCCUCUGACAAUUCUAGAGAUAGACGUCCC
rnacentral:rRNA from 1 species